GACGAACGCUGGCGGCGUGCUUAACACAUGCAAGUCGAACGGUAAGGCCCUUCGGGUACGACGAGUGGCGAACGGGUGGAGUAACACGUGGUGAUCUGCCCUGCACUUCGGGAUAAGCCUGGGAAACUGGGUCUAAUACCGGAUAGGACCAUGGACUUCACGGUUUGUGGUGGAAAGCUUUUGCGGUGUGGGAUGGGCCCGCGGCCUAUCAGCUUGUUGGUGGGGGUAAAUGGCCUACCAAGGCGACGACGGGUAGCCGGCCUGAGAGGGUGUCCGGCCACACUGGGACUGAGAUACGGCCCAGACUCCUACGGGAGGCAGCAGUGGGGAAUAUUGCACAAUGGGCGCAAGCCUGAUGCAGCGACGCCGCGUGAGGGAUGACGGCCUCGGG
rnacentral:rRNA from 1 species